rnacentral:rRNA from 1 species
GAAAGGUAUGCUAAUACGGGAUAAUAUAUUUGAGAGGCAUCUCUUGAAUAUCAAAGGUGAGCCAGUACAGGAUGGACCCGCGUCUGAUUAGCUAGUUGGUAAGGUAACGGCUUACCAAGGCGACGAUCAGUAGCCGACCUGAGAGGGUGAUCGGCCACAUUGGAACUGAGACACGGUCCAAACUCCUACGGGAGGCAGCAGUGGGGAAUAUUGCACAAUGGGCGAAAGCCUGAUGCAGCAACGCCGCGUGAGUGAUGAAGGCCUUCGGGUCGUAAAACUCUGUCCUCAAGGAAGAUAAUGACGGUACUUGAGGAGGAAGCCCCGGCUAACUACGUGCCAGCAGCCGCGGUAAUACGUAGGGGGCUAGCGUUAUCCGGAUUUACUGGGCGUAAAGGGUGCGUAGGCGGUCUUUCAAGUCAGGAGUGAAAGGCUACGGCUCAACCGUAGUAAGCUCUUGAAACUGGGAGACUUGAGUGCAGGAGAGGAGAGUGGAAUUCCUAGUGUAGCGGUGAAAUGCGUAGAUAUUAGGAGGAACACCAGUUGCGAAGGCGGCUCUCUGGACUGUAACUGACGCUGAGGCACGAAAGCGUGGGGAGCAAACAGGAUUAGAUACCCUGGUAGUCCACGCUGUAAACGAUGAGUACUAGGUGUCGGGGGUUACCCCC